rnacentral:lncRNA from 10 species
UGCUGUUUUCGUUUGUUUGUUUUUGUCUAACUCACCUUGUUUUCAGGAAGACUUGCAGCUUAAUAAGGAGGCUUUACAUGGGAACCCAAAGGCUACUGGGUGCAGAAGGGUGGGAAACCAGAUGGACUUGGUUGAAUUCAGGUCUGCCACUUGGUGGCCUUGCGGCCGUGGACACCAUGGGUAACUUCUCUGAGCCUCAGUUUUUUUGUCUGAAAAUGAGGAUAGUCCUGCGGUAUUACUGUAAUAAUUAAAUGAAAUCAAAGGUGCCAGGCUAACUAGCGAACUCUCUGUUGGCACACUUCUUUCCUGAGUGCCUGCAGUGUGCCUGGCUCUGGACAGCAGGGAACAAAGCACUCUGGGGGGUUGCGGAGAGAGUACAGAACAUCAGCUUGUGAACCCCGAAUAUCUGAGACAGGUCUCAGUUAAUUUAGAAAGUUUAUUUUUGCCAAGGUUGAGGAUGCACGCCCGUGACACAGCCUCAGGAGGUCCUGAUGACACAUGCCCAAGGUGGUCAGAGCACAGUUUGGUUUUAUAUAUUUUAGGGAGAUACAUCAAUCAACAUAUGUAAGAUGUACAUUGGUUCAGUCCGGAAAGGCGGGACAACUCGAAGCGGGAGGUGGCUUCCAGGUCAUAGAAGACAAACUGCCACAGAGUGAUGAGCACCCUGGAGAACUGGAAUUGGGCCACACAGGCCAGCACCAGGUGGCUGCUUUAGCCCGGGUGGUCCACACGGCUUUGCCGGGAAGGGGACAUUUCAGUCAAAAUCUAGAAAACAAGGAGCAAACCAGGUGUAGUUGAGGGGUUGAGGGGUGAUACGGUUUGGAUGUUUGUCCCCUCCAAAUCUCACGUUGAACUGUGACCACCAGUGCUGGAGGUGGGCCUAGUGGGAGGAGUUUGGGUCAUGGGGGUGGAUCCCUCAUUAUUGUCUCCAUGCCGUCUUCCAGGUAGUGAGUGAGUUCU